rnacentral:misc_RNA from 1 species
UGGCUCUCCCAUCGAUGAAGAACGCAGCGAAAUGCGAUAAGUAAUGUGAAUUGCAGAAUUCAGUGAAUCAUCGAAUCUUUGAACGCACCUUGCGCCCUUUGGUAUUCCGAAGGGCAUGCCUGUUUGAGUGUCAGUUUAUUCUCAACCUUACGAACGCUUUUGCGUUUGUAAGGCUUGGAUGUGAGGGCUUUGCUGGCUUCCUUUAGUGGAUGGUCUGCUCCCUUUAAAUGUAUUAGUGGAAGCCUUUGUGGACGGUCACUUGGUGUGAUAAUAUAUCUACGCCGCUUGUACUCGAAGCAAAACCUGUGGGCAUCUGCUUAUAACCGUCUGUAAUGGACAAACUUUAACUGAACUUUUGACCUCAAAUCAGGUAGGACUACCCGCUGA